rnacentral:rRNA from 1 species
GUGAGGAAUAUUGGUCAAUGGACGAGAGUCUGAACCAGCCAAGUAGCGUGAAGGAUGACUGCCCUAUGGGUUGUAAACUUCUUUUAUAUGGGAAUAAAGUAUUCCACGUGUGGGAUUUUGUAUGUACCAUAUGAAUAAGGAUCGGCUAACUCCGUGCCAGCAGCCGCGGUAAUACGGAGGAUCCGAGCGUUAUCCGGAUUUAUUGGGUUUAAAGGGAGCGUAGGUGGAUUGUUAAGUCAGUUGUGAAAGUUUGCGGCUCAACCGUAAAAUUGCAGUUGAAACUGGGAGUCUUGAGUACAGUAGAGGUGGGCGGAAUUCGUGGUGUAGCGGUGAAAUGCUUAGAUAUCACGAAGAACUCCGAUUGCGAAGGCAGCUCACUAGACUGUCACUGACACUGAUGCUCGAAAGUGUGGGUAUCAAACAGGA